GAUGAAGAACGUAGCGAAAUGCGAUACUUGGUGUGAAUUGCAGAAUCCCGUGAACCAUCGAGUCUUUGAACGCAAGUUGCGCCCGAAGCCAUUAGGCCGAGGGCACGCCUGCCUGGGCGUCACACGUCGUUGCCCCCCCCAUCUACUCCUUCGGGAUUGCGGGGGGCGGAUGAUGGCCUCUCGUGCGCCUCGUCGCGCGGUUGGCCUAAAUGCCAAGUCCUCGGCGACGCACGCCACGACAAUCGGUGGUUGCGAAACCUCGGUUGCCUGUCGUGUGCGGUCGUCGCGCAUCGAGGGCUCGAAAAAAUUGCCGGGCUUCGGCUCGACUUUCAACGCGACCCCAGGUCAGGCGGGGUUACCCGCUGAAUUUAAGCAUAUCAAUAAGCGGAGGA
rnacentral:misc_RNA from 1 species